GAAGGUGUUCUUUUUUAUCGUCCAGGAUGUAAAUGGGUGUCUCAAAACACAGUUUAACGUGACUGAUGCAGAUGGCUCGUCUUGCAAAAACUGUCCAAAAUGUCCUCCAGGGGAAGAACUUUCACAUGUGUGGAACAAGCAUACCACCAAAUGCCAUGUUAAUAUGCGUCCGCAGCAAACCAGGAGUCUCGUUUUCGAGCAGUUGUGAUACCUCUACCUGUACUCCUUGUUCGCCAAGCUGCUUAGAGGACCAAGUAGUACUUGAGUGCUGUGCACCUACUGGAAAUAUCAGAUGGAGCAAACAGUGUAACAGUAAACGCAAGUAUAUUUCCUCUUUUUCUGGCAAUGCCAUCACUCUUUUGCUUUUGUAUUACGACCACACAUCACGAUCUGUGGAUUGCCUAGCCUGUUCAACUGUUGAGGCGAUGACAGGGAUGUGGUAAUGCAUGAAUGCAAAAAGAAAUUGGGAGCAGCCUCCAACACGAUCUGUUCCUUUCACAGCAGCGGUCACCGCUGUGACACAACCACAGCAUCUGUUCAUGAUCAACGUGGCACCGCAGUCCCAACCAGUCCAAUCAAUUCCUUGGCGACUCCAAGUGACACCAUUCAUUUCAUACAUUUUAUCCGUGAAGAGGAUCCCACAUCCACCUACCCAAAAAUUUCCACACAUUCGGAAGGAAGGAUUCCCCUUUCUCGAAGCAGGCUCAAAAGAUACCUACGUUCUUGGGGGAGUAUUAGGGGGUGUUCUAUUAGCCCUGUAAUUUGGUUCUGACACUUACUUCCUUCGCACUAGGAAAAGAUGCAGUUUCUCAAGAUGUAAUGGGGCAUAGAAACAGGAUGCCAUCAUCCAGCAGCGCCGGAUUUCUAGCAAACUACGUUUGGGAGUUGUGUCUUUUAAAAUCAAAAUGUUAAUUCCAUUCCUUUCCUUCAAAGUUAUAGCGUUUGCAAAGUCAGGAAAUUUUACACACCUUUGGAUACCUCAGCGUACCAUCAUGUGCAAAAUUUCCAGACUUUGUGGAGCCAUUUUUAUUAUUUUACAAGAUAAUCUGUACCAUACAUUUUUAAUAUGUUUGGCCGGGCUGAAGAGUAUAAUUCGUUAUACGAGGGACUUUGUUAUGUAGAGGUUCAUUAAAUCAAGAUUUCAGGAGCUUCUCAUCGGCUUGAAGCAUAAUUUAUAACAAGUCAUCUAUCUAAAGUUGGGUGUGGCUCCACUUGUGCUUGAAAAUAAUCAUGCUGAUUGCAGCUUCCUAUUUCUCAGAAUGAGGUUACGAUGCCUGUGAAAUUACUGACAAUAUUAUGGAAGUGAUAUAAUUUAUUUACACAUUACCAUAUACAGCCUGUAUAUCAUGCUAUUCCUUGUAGGUUGUGAUUUUUACAGUCAUAUAACACCAUACUGUAGAGAGUCUUGUAAGAAUUGAAGCCACUUUUCUUGCUUGACAAUUUUUCAAGUCCCAUAUCAACAUUACAAUUUUCUUUCUUAGUCCCAAACUUGCAAAAUCAAUUUUAGUUUCUCUUGAAUUCUUGUCAACUCUACAUCUAAUAACACUUAGACAUCUCAUUGUGAUUAGGAAUACUUGCCAUCUACUUGCUGUUAUUUAAAUUAAUUAAUUAAACGACUGCAAAACAUGAUUUUUGAGCUUGAUAGUUGAGUGCGUCAGUUUGUUAUCAGAAAUGUCCCUGAUGAUUCAUACUCUAAGCUGAGUUUCUACCUUUUUAAUUGAUCCUGACUGAUUAUUUUUGCCUUGUAUGUAUCAAACUUGCUCUAACUCCUUGGUGCAUAUGUACAUCUUAAAAGGCUACCCUGUUAGAAUGGAGGUACAAUGUACAUGUGUCCCCGAGUUUCAAACUGACUGCUUUUGGGUAAAAAUUUUGAUGUAAUUCACCAUCGACUUAUACGCCUCUGUUUGCUUUAGUUCUUCCUCAGUUAGGCCUUCCUCCUCUUCACUUUCCUCUGAAUC